AGGAUUCUUGAAGGAAGUAACGAUGGUGGUUCGACAUGGUGUGUCCUAGACAAGCAAACUAGUCAGGUAUUCGAGGAACGGUUCCAACGCAAAUCCUACAAAAUAACUACACCUGGAUUCCAAGCAAAUCUUUUCAGGUAUGUUAAAUAACUUUUC